AAAUUGAAGAGUUUGAUCAUGGCUCAGAUUGAACGCUGGCGGCAGGCCUAACACAUGCAAGUCGAACGGUAACAGGAAGCAGCUUGCUGCUUCGCUGACGAGUGGCGGACGGGUGAGUAAUGUCUGGGAAACUGCUUGAUGGAGGGGGAUAACUACUGGAAACGGUGGCUAAUACCGCAUAACGUCGCAAGACCAAAGAGGGGGACCUUCGGGCCUCUUGCCAUCAGAUGUGCCCAGAUGGGAUUAGCU
rnacentral:rRNA from 2 species